rnacentral:rRNA from 1 species
GACGAACGCUGGCGGCGUGCUUAACACAUGCAAGUCGAACGGAAAGGCCUCUUUCGGGGGGUACUCGAGUGGCGAACGGGUGAGCAACACGUGAGUAACCUGCCCUUGACUUUGGGAUAACUUCAGGAAACUGGGGCUAAUACCGGAUAGGAGCUCCUGCUGCAUGGUGGGGGUUGGAAAGUUUCGGCGGUUGGGGAUGGACUCGCGGCUUAUCAGCUUGUUGGUGGGGUAGUGGCUUACCAAGGCUUUGACGGGUAGCCGGCCUGAGAGGGUGAUCGGCCACAUUGGGACUGAGAUACGGCCCAGACUCCUACGGGAGGCAGCAGUGGGGAAUAUUGCACAAUGGGUGGAAGCCUGAUGCAGCAACGCCGUGUGCGGGAUGACGGCCUUCGGGUUGUAAACCGCUUUCGCUCAUGACGAAGCUUUGUGUGACGGUAGUGGGUAAAGAAGCACCGGCUAACUACGUG